AUCCAUCCCGCUCAGAGGUCCCUCAGUGUCACCACUGAGGCUCAGAUUAGACAGUGACAAUUAUUUCCUUUCUGGCUAUUGCGCCCCGCCCCCUUUCCCUGGAGGGAGCAAGGGGGUAGACCAAUCUCCUGGGACCUAAGAAUAGAUGCAGGAGGAUCAGAGGAGGCAAACAGGCUCUGGCCCUGGAAAGGCCCUCUCCGCGCCUUACAUGGCCUUGUUUAAGGCUGAGCAAAAACCCAGAGGGUGGGGAGAGAACAAAAUGUGAGUGGAGCUGCCUUGCCAAGGCUCGGGCCGCCUAAGGCUAGCACUCUGCAUUCUCUGAUGGAAACAUCUCCCUUACAGGGGGCAGAUUGAGGUGGAAGGGUGGACAGGUGCCUGGGUGCUCUACCCACCCUACCCCACCCCAAGCGUUUGUGUCCAGGCUCUCAUCUUGGGUUCUGGGAUAUCUGGCAGUGGAAGACAAUCACAGCGGCAAGGCUGUAGGUGCUAAGCACCUCUCUCUGCUCUCUGGAGCAGCUCACAGGAAAAACAAAAGGCUCCUGAGAGGACCCGUCCCCGAGGAUCAUGAAAUCCCUUUUCCUUUUACUCAUUUGUGUCAUAUUCUCCCAUUGGCCCAGCAACUGACAGGUGCAUGGGACUCUAGGUCCCUUCCAGGGUCCCCUCUGAGCCAUUUAUCUCUCACUCAGGUAUCUAGCAGACCUCGCUGUGCAUAGAAGACGAAUAUGAUCAACAGAAACCCUUCCUGACAGCUCCAAAGAGAACCCCUUCCGAUGCAUAUUCUAUUGAGCACAUCUCAGAGAGGCUGACAGUCUCUUAACAAUUAAACUCCACAUCCCAGGCUUCAGAGACACCACAAAUCUCCCUACCUAAUAAAUCACUGCCCCCAGUUAUUGUUAAAUGUCCCGUCAGUCUCUAAUAAACUCCCUGCCAAAAGGGACAGGUUAUUUAUUA